rnacentral:lncRNA from 1 species
UCUAUUUAUAGCAACACUUAGUCGGUUAAGACUGAGAUAUUUUCCAAAGGAAAAUAAUAAAGAAAUCAAUACGGAUAAUCAUUAUCAUCUUCUGAUAUUAUCUAACACUCCCCCUUGAUUAUCCAUCUUGUACUACGUAGUGCCUCGUUAAAAACCUAAUCAUGGAAAAACCCAAUGGGACAAAAACCAUGACAAGGAAAAAAGAGUACACUGUCGUAAUCUCCCCCUGAGAAUAGUGGCCAUAGCUUUCUCGUCACAGGUCAUGUAAAUGCCGCAUUCCGAUACCAUACACGUGUUUUCGGAAUGUUGUAAUAGGAAGAACCUUCGUAAACAAGUCUGUCGGAUAGUCGCUUGACCGUACAUAUUCGAUGUCCACCUUUUUAUUUUUCUCGAGCUCCCUUAUGUACCAGAAGAAUCUUGGAGGAAUAUGCUUCGUUCUGUCACUCUUAAUGUAACCUUAUUUGAGUUGAGCGACACAAGCCGAAUUAUCUUCAAAUGUUUUCGUCGGCUCUUUCUCGUUGACUAUUCCGCUUAAUUCUUAUAUGUGGUGACUCAUUGACCGAAGCCACACAUAUUCUCGACAUGCUUUGAAGAAGUCGAAACCUAGGAUCGUUUCUCGGAACGCUAUGUAAUCGCGGUUUCACCAAUUGUAAAACC